UGGGGAAUAUUGCACAAUGGGCGCAAGCCUGAUGCAGCCAUGCCGCGUGUAUGAAGAAGGCCUUCGGGUUGUAAAGUACUUUCAGCGGGGAGGAAGGCGAUAAGGUUAAUAACCUUGUCGAUUGACGUUACCCGCAGAAGAAGCACCGGCUAACUCCGUGCCAGCAGCCGCGGUAAUACGGAGGGUGCAAGCGUUAAUCGGAAUUACUGGGCGUAAAGCGCACGCAGGCGGUCUGUCAAGUCGGAUGUGAAAUCCCCGGGCUCAACCUGGGAACUGCAUUCGAAACUGGCAGGCUAGAGUCUGGUAGAGGGGGGUAGAAUUCCAGGUGUAGCGGUGAAAUGCGUAGAGAUCUGGAGGAAUACCGGUGGCGAAGGCGGCCCCCUGGACAAAGACUGACGCUCAGGUGCGAAAGCGUGGGGAGCAAACA
rnacentral:rRNA from 1 species